GCCCUCGUGGCGGAAUGGCAGACGCAGGGGACUUAAAAUCCCUUGUCCGAAAGGACGUGCCGGUUCGAGUCCGGCCGGGGGCACCA
rnacentral:tRNA from 1 species